rnacentral:rRNA from 1 species
UGCAGUCGACGCUUCUUUCCUCCCGAGUGCUUGCACUCAAUUGGAAAGAGGAGUGGCGGACGGGUGAGUAACACGUGGGUAACCUACCCAUCAGAGGGGGAUAACACUUGGAAACAGGUGCUAAUACCGCAUAACAGUUUAUGCCGCAUGGCAUAAGAGUGAAAGGCGCUUUCGGGUGUCGCUGAUGGAUGGACCCGCGGUGCAUUAGCUAGUUGGUGAGGUAACGGCUCACCAAGGCCACGAUGCAUAGCCGACCUGAGAGGGUGAUCGGCCACACUGGGACUGAGACACGGCCCAGACUCCUACGGGAGGCAGCAGUAGGGAAUCUUCGGCAAUGGACGAAAGUCUGACCGAGCAACGCCGCGUGAGUGAAGAAGGUUUUCGGAUCGUAAAACUCUGUUGUUAGAGAAGAACAAGGACGUUAGUAACUGAACGUCCCCUGACGGUAUCUAACCAGAAAGCCACGGCUAACUACGUGCCAGCAGCCGCGGUAAUACGUAGGUGGCAAGCGUUGUCCGGAUUUAUUGGGCGUAAAGCGAGCGCAGGCGGUUUCUUAAGUCUGAUGUGAAAGCCCCCGGCUCAACCGGGGAGGGUCAUUGGAAACUGGGAGACUUGAGUGCAGAAGAGGAGAGUGGAAUUCCAUGUGUAGCGGUGAAAUGCGUAGAUAUAUGGAGGAACACCAGUGGCGAAGGCGGCUCUCUGGUCUGUACUGACGCUGAGCUCGAAGCGUGGGAGCAACAGGAUAGAUACCUGGU